GACGAACGCUGGCGGCGUGCUUAACACAUGCAAGUCGAACGGAAAGGCCCUGCUUUUGUGGGGUGCUCGAGUGGCGAACGGGUGAGUAACACGUGAGUAACCUGCCCUUGACUUUGGGAUAACUUCAGGAAACUGGGGCUAAUACCGGAUAGGAGCUCCUGCUGCAUGGUGGGGGUUGGAAAGUUUCGGCGGUUGGGGAUGGACUCGCGGCUUAUCAGCUUGUUGGUGGGGUAGUGGCUUACCAAGGCUUUGACGGGUAGCCGGCCUGAGAGGGUGACCGGCCACAUUGGGACUGAGAUACGGCCCAGACUCCUACGGGAGGCAGCAGUGGGGAAUAUUGCACAAUGGGCGGAAGCCUGAUGCAGCAACGCCGCGUGCGGGAUGACGGCCUUCAGGUUGUAAACCGCCUUCGCCUGUGACGAAGCGUGAGUGACGGUAAUGGGUAAAGAAGCACCGGCUAACUACGUG
rnacentral:rRNA from 1 species